rnacentral:lncRNA from 1 species
UGGAGACUUGUAUUCGUAUCCCUCGUCCUUUUUGGGAGGUGGUGGAGACUUGUAUUCGUAUCCCUUGUCCUUUUUGGGAGGUGGUGGAGACUCGUACUUGUAAGGCGGGGAUUUUUCAUGCUUUGGUGGUGGGCAUUUGUCUUCUUUUGGAGGAGGUGGUGGAGACUUGUACUCGUAUUUUGGUGGUUUUGGCUUGUGGGGUUUAGGUGGUGGAGGGCACUUAGGAGGAGGGGAUGGUGAAGGACACUUGGGAGGAGGUGGUGGUGAGGGACACUUUGGAGGAGGAGGUGGUGAGGGACACUUGGGAGGAGGCGGUGGUGACGGACAUUUGGACGGAGGCGGUGGUGACGGGCACUUGGGAGGAGGAGGUGGUGACGGGCACUUGGGAGGAGGAGGUGGUGAUGGGCACUUGGGAGGUGGUGGUGGUGAUGGACACUUGGGGGGUGGCGGUGGGGAAGGACACUUUGGAGGUGGUGGAGGAUAUUCUUUUGGUGGCGGUGGAGACUCGUACUUGUAUGGCGGAGGAUAUUUCUUAG